AAUACCUUAGUAUUGUAUCCACCAUAAAAAAGGUAUGUGUGAAGGCUUUAGACCCGUUAUUGUAGGCCCAGUUUAAUUUGCAACUCAAUUUUAUACAAUAUUAGUAGGAGGUCCCUGCUCCGUCUCACUUUCAGCUAAUGGGUCCUUAGUCUAAAAAACGUUGACGACCCCUGUGUUAAGGCAUCAUUAAUUCUCUUUGAAAGCAACCAUUCUACAAAAAAAUCACUUUUGAUGCAUCUUACUUCUAAUGUUUACGUAAUCCCUUACUUAUUGAUUUUUAUCCUUUUGUCUUAUUGCUCAUUCUUACUUUGAGUACUUAUUUCAGCUCUGUUGAAGGCAAACAAUGUAUAGAAAUAAGUGAUGCAUCAAGAUUAUUUCAAGUCUUUUAUGAUGAAUUUCACUGUCAGAAAAGGAGAAAUAGAAUUGUGAGAAAGAAAGUUGAGUGGGUAGAGAAAUCUGUGUAGAGCAAUAAACUGACCUCACUUGACAGCUCCUGUGCACGUACAGUGAAGCAGGAAGCUAACUGACUGAAUUAUUCAACUUCCUCCUUUUAUCUUUUUUCUAUCCCCCUCCUCACUCUCUAACAAGGCCUCUCAUUCAACCUCUUCCCACCAUGUUUUCUCAUUUUCACCUCUCCGUGUCGUAGGGUUUAACUAUUAACUUUUUCCAGUUAAAUUUUGCAUAAUGGACAUGCAAUAACGCAGAUUUCCGGCAGUUUGCAGCAUUUCCCUUUUGUCUCACCAAAGAAGUCUCCUAACAUCUGAAAUUUUCAAUAACUGAUGAGAAAAAGCAGUGCAUUGCCGCAACAUCUAUCCAGGUCUCUUAGUAAGACUGGCUAAUAUUGAAAAUGAGAUAACUUUCCGUUCUACUUAAAAGGUCACACAGAGUGGUAAACAUGUUUUUGGUUUGUUUAGUAGUCUUCAAUUUCUUCCUCCAGAAUGUGAUGUUCUUUUAAUAACUAGCUGUUGCCCCUAGAGAGACAGAGAAAGAUAAAGAGAUUCAAAAUCAGAUUCACGUCAGAAGGAUGUUGAACCGCAGGAGAAGGAAGACGGGUAAGGAGAGAAAUGGAGGAAAAUGAGACUGUAAACAGAUCUGUUUUAGAGACACACAAGGCUUGUUUUUCAGUUUCACCUGGUAGCCUCCUACCCUCUUCCUUCAUCGGGCCAUGUUGUAUUUUUAAUAAGCCUCCACUCUUCUCCUCUUUCCGCCACAUUUUGCGGAUGACCAGUGAAUAGAGCAGUGGGAAUCAAAAGGAAAAAAGAGACAGCAGGGGUGACAGAUAGGCAGACAGGAACUUGAUAUCUUGAUAACAAUGACUUGGUGAGAGCAGUGAUGGUGGGAUCUAAGCACUUGUUCCACUUGCCACAGUAUUUACUGCAAGAGCUUCUUUAUUUUGUCAGAUCAUAUUACUUACAACCAACUUAAAAUGUAUUAUCGUAGCUUGUACUUUUUGUUCUGUAAGUGUACUAUUUUAACACAUUACCAACUCGGCACAUGUAUGCAUACUGAUGCUAACAUGCCUAUAAGUGCAUAUUUGUGAAUAAUAUUGUUGUCACUUUCAGGAAAUAUUCAACCACCUUGACUUUUUCCUCAUUGGGAAAUUGGUGGUAAAUUAGGCAAAAAUAAAGGCAACUUUUUUAGUAUUGCCACACGGAUGUUUCGGGCAAGACGCCCUUCUUCAGGGGAAAUUAAAGCCAGAAUUUUUAUUCUUUAUAAGUUUAUAAGUG